rnacentral:rRNA from 1 species
AUUGAACGCUGGCGGCAGGCCUAACACAUGCAAGUCGAGCGAGCGGCGGACGGGUGAGUAAUGUCUGGGAAACUGCCUGAUGGAGGGGGAUAACUACUGGGAACGGUAGCUAAUACCGCAUACCAUCAGAUGUGCCAAGAGGGGAUUAGCUAGUAGGUGGGGUAACGGCGCACCUAGGCGACGAUCCCUAGCUGGUCUGAGAGGAUGACCAGCCACACUGGAACUGAGGCACUGUCCAUACGCCUACGGGAGGCAGCAGUGGGGAAGAUUGCACAAUGGGCGCAAGCCUGAUGCAGCCAUGCCGCGUGUGUGAAGAGGGCCUUCGGGUUGUAAAGCACUUUCAGCGGGGAGGCGUUACCCGCAGAAGAAGCACCGGCUAACUCCGUGCCAGCAGCCGCGGUAAUUC